ACGGCUCAGUAACACGUGGAUAACCUGCCCUUGGGUCCGGCAUAACCCCGGGGAACUGGGGAUAAUUCCGGAUAACGCACAUAUGCUGGAAUGCUUUAUGCGUAAAAUGGAUUCGUCUGCCCAAGGAUGGGUCUGCGGCCUAUCAGGUAGUAGUGGGUGUAAUGUACCUACUAGCCAACAACGGGUACGGGUUGUGAGAGCAAGAGCCCGGAGAUGGAUUCUGAGACAUGAAUCCAGGCCCUACGGGGCGCAGCAGGCGCGAAAACUUUACAAUGCGGGAAACCGUGAUAAGGGGACACCGAGUGCCAGCAUCAUAUGCUGGCUGUCCAGGUGUGUAAAAUACACCUGUCAGCAAGGGCCGGGCAAGACCGGUGCCAGCCGCCGCGGUAACACCGGCGGCCCGAGUGGUGAUCGUGAUUAUUGGGUCUAAAGGGUCCGUAGCCGGUUUGGUCAGUCCUCCGGGAAAUCUGACGGCUCAACCGUUAGGCUUUCGGGGGAUACUGCCAGGCUUGGAACCGGGAGAGGUAAGAGGUACUACAGGGGUAGGAGUGAAAUCUUGUAAUCCCUGUGAGACCACCUGUGGCGAAGGCGUCUUACCAGAACGGGUUCGACGGUGAGGGACGAAAGCUGGGGGCACGAACCGGAUUAGAUACCCGGGUAGUCCCAGCCGUAAACGAUGCUCGCUAGGUGUCAGGCAUGACGCGACCGUGUCUGGUGCCGCAGGGAAGCCGUGAAGCGAGCCACCUGGGAAGUACGGCCGCAAGGCUGAAACUUAAAGGAAUUGGCGGGGGAGCACA
rnacentral:rRNA from 1 species